UCUACAAAGUAGGGUGCACACGAAUUUAGUAGAUUGUAGGACAAUAGUAAAACUUCUACUUAAAUCUGAAAAUCAUUCAUUACUUUGUUUACAGUAUGUUGCAAUGUAUUACAAUUUAUAUGUUCCUCAUUUAGAUUUAUCAAUACUGGAGGAGGAUUCAGGGAAGAUGGCAAAGUAAGUCAGUAAAUUUCAAGUUCUGCAGAUCUCCCCCAUAAACAAAUCAAUUUGCCUCAAGGUAAAUACAGACUGAUGAAAAACAAGUCUGUAGAACAGGGGUCCUUCUGCUACAACCUGAGAAAACUCAAAUAAAGACCCAGGACAGUUUUAACCAGUGUGAAGUAUAAACACCUCCAGGCUAGCUCCACAGGAACAUCAAGUGAGGACUCUUAGGGAUAACUGAGUUCAACCAGAACCACGAGAACUUCAACCUCCCAGAUUGCGAGAAUAGGAAUCCCAGUCCAGGAAAACAGAAAGAAUCUUUGCUGAUUAGGAAUGCAAGACCCAAUUGUGCUGCUCAGACAACGAGAAGUAUACCUGAUACACAGAAGAAAGAACCUAUUUGAUCACUGCACUUAUUUUGCCAAGGUGAGAAGAAACCUCUUCCAGUGGCUUUCAUUGGCAACAAGAAACGCAGAAAGGAAAUUAAAAAAACAAAAACUGCAGCAGCAAAUAUGAAUUACAAUAGAAAACCUUAAAUCCAAGGCCGACCCUUUGUUGACCCUCUCUAACAGGGA